AGCAAGCUCAGGGAGUUGCAGUCCAUGGAGUCACACAACUGAGCAGCCAACUGAACUGAAGGUCUGACUGCUGCUCUGCCAUCACGUAAGAGAAGUAAACACUUCAUAGUCGUGUUCUUGCUCCAGCAGUCUUUAGGAUGCCAUUUUCAGGUCUUCCAGUCAAAAGAACUGUGAGUGUGAACAAGGGAACUCUACAGCCUUGUAUGACACUCUACCACAUUUAAAGGUCCUUCUAGGACAAAAAGAGUAAUUUACUCUUUUGAAUUUGCAAAUGCAUUUAUUUUCAAAUAAAUACUCCUAUUUAGCCCUUUGUAUAACAUCUGUAAGAAUUCUGACAGCCUCUAAGAUUAUCACAUUGUAACAAAUAAUUGCAAUAAAAUUAAUUGCAUAGCAAAGCCAGCUUUAAGGAUAGUAAUCCUACUUACAAAAACAACUCCUUUUGAUGAGGAUCUUCCAAAUUGAAUUGAUUUUUCAUUAUAAGUUCAAAAAAUUCUCCUCGUCUCCUUUAAAAUAAAGAAAAAUAUUUGGUAGUUAUGAUGAGUCCCCUAAGCUCUUAUCUUUUUGGUCAACAAAGGCUCAUCAAGUAAAAUUUCAGGGAAAAGAAUCUCUAGUGGUUUUUCUCAAAUAAGAAUCUUACAUUGUUACAUAUAUUCUUAUAAAUCAGAAUAUAUAAUCCAAUAUAAGAAUCAUAUAAAAAUCUUGAACACCUUACUUUCCUCUCUUCUACCAUAUUCUUUGGUUGAAAUAUUAAAUCUUAACUCACUUUUAACUAAGGUCACAAGUAAUAGAAAUUUCAAUUCUUGAAUAUGAUUUAAGAAAAUGAAACAAUGUGAGUUAAAAAUCUGAUGCUGAGAAUGAUUUAAGAAAUUUUGCAUAUGGUGCAAGAUCUCUAUGGUUUCAAUUUAAUUUUAUACGUGUCAUUCACAUAAUUUUUUACUGUAUACCAAAAUAUAUCUCAGUAUAAAGCUGUGAAGUUCUUCUGAAGCAAAGAAAGACCCAGUAUAAACUGAUGUUUGCUCACUGUAUAGUGAACACCUCCGUGUGCUCAACAUGGAUAAGCAUCUUGGAAAAUGCUGAGACAUGAGUUCUUUUCGUAACAUUUAAACUAGUCAAAGUCACGGGACACUCAUAAGAGAAACUUGCAUAACAAAACUGCCUGUCUGUGACUGAGAACCAAGAUGAAAAGAGGUUUCAGAAGGAUCCAGAGGGGAGACCCGUGUGGCUUGAAAAGGUCAGGAAGUCUUUGUGGUUUCAGAUAGAGACACCACCCAAGACCGAAGAAAGGUGACACAGGAAAAAAUGAGCCAAGAGUGAGAGCAGCUUAAGGGAAAACAAAAACAGUAAAACGGAAAUAAAGUAAGUUGUACCAUCGGUCAGAUCCUGUGCUGAUCACUGGACAAAGGGAAGACGGUGGGAUGAACUAAAACAAGCAAAUCUAGAAGAAAAAUGCACUGGAACCAUUCUGGAGAUGCAUGGAGACUACUGGGAUUUAGUUAGGAGCCCAGUGGGAAACUGUUCUAGUAGCCAGGUGAGAGAGAGCCUGGAUUAGAGUGGAUCUGGUAGAAUUGGGGAUUCUACUGGGCUUGGUAGAAUCCCAAAUAGAGAGCAUUGUUUAAGGAGGUAGACGAGUCAGGAGCUGGCAGUGAGUCCUGGUGGUGGGAACUAGUGGUGAUGAGAGAGAUGAAGGGGGAAAGCAGAGAGGCUAAGUUCCUGCAUUGUCAUUUAUUGACACAGGGCAACAGGGAGGAGACAAUGGGGGUGAAGGAGGGAGGCUGACUAGGUGAGCGCUCGAUGUAUUGAUUUUAGGGUGGCUGUGGUCCAGCCACGUGGGUAUAAAUGUCUGGACUGGAGAGGCUUGGGUCACAUCAGCACGCUUGGAAAUCUGAGCCGUGCAAGCGGUCUCCAGGAAGAUGGCCUGGGCUUACAGAGGGCCCAGCAUAAACAGACCCGUGAUCCCCUCCACAUCCUGCCUGGAGUCUACCGUCUCUGCUGUGGCCACAGUGUUUUCUCUUCACUCGGACCAGACCCACUAGAACCACUCGUGUUUACACUUCAGUAAAACUACUGCAGCCUUCCUCAUGCCCUUCACCUAGGAAAGGAAAAGCUUCUGGAAUGCCUGUUACUUCCAUUUAUAUAAGAAACUUCAGCACAUCCAUCUGUUUUACUCUGCUGGUUGUUUUUAAGUCUGUUACCUGUUAGAUUGUAUUCCUUUUCAGUUUGGUAGAUUCCUUUUCCCCAAUGAGAACAAGUACUCUCUGCUGUAACAUGUCCAGCCCUGUGCUAAGCAGUUGACUUAGUUUUGACGUUACUCUCGUAUAGGACGCUUUAGCUCACCACGUCAAGUCCUCAGUCCCCCUAUACUGCAGCCGCUGUCGGGGCGUCCAGCGCCAGCCCUGCUGUGACAUGUGGCGUGACGAGCCCCUGAGGAGGUGCCCGCGCCGCCCCGCGGGAACACCUCAUCUCUGCCCACAGGAGCACUCUGCACUCGGCCGCUCAGCUGGGAGGGUGAAGCGGUGAGGCCUGUGGAGGUCAGCUGUGACCGCGGGAUACCGCGCGGGUGGAGAGCCGCCCCUCCCCGUUCAUCUCCGUCAGUUUGCAGACAGCUCUGCGUCUCCUGUCCUGGACCGCUCACAGGCUGCUGGCGGCAGUGAGCACCGGGUGCCGUGUGCACGGACAUCUGGCUCCCUCGUCCUCCUCCUGGCCUCCCCUCCUCUCCGUUUCUCGCCCUCAGGCCUGCAUUUCCGCCCCCUGGGGUCACAUGCACCCCUAAGCUGUAUGCACCCGGCUUCUGUCCCAGGCUCUGCUCCAGGGUGACCCAGCCUUAGAUGUCACGACAGCAUUUUAGCAUUUGUUUUUUUAGACAACCUAAAGUUCAGAGAGAUCAUCUAACUUGUUCAAGGUCAACACAAGUGGCAGAGCCGGGGUUCACACACACCCUCUUCACCGCGUGACUCUGGCUCGCGACCCACCGCACUUUGCACACACAGCAUCUCCUCACCGACCUAGCAGCCAGACUGGAAACACAACCAGGCAGCGACAAUGGAAACAUGUUUAAAAUUGAGAAUGCAUAUUGCGUUUUUACACCAUGCAGAAAGGACUGCUUCAUAUUAGAGAAGAUUCUUGGCUUGUGAGAUAAACAAAUGCAAACUUACUUACAUUUUUACAUGCUUACUCACAUGGUUUACCUUUACUUAUGUUCUAAAACUAUGGAUUUAUGAGUCAACGACAGGGUGACAAAUGCCCCAAAUUCUGUCUUUACAAAGAUAUUCAUGGAAACCAGUGUAUCCCCUGUCCUGUCACUUUCUCACUCUUUAAACACAAGGCCACAUCACCGCCUCCUUCGAGGUCAUGCCACAAGGACACUUUAAACCACUAUUGCCACGGGAUUCUUCCCCACCGCGGUUAGUGAGCAGUCGUGGGUGAGCACACUCUCCCUGCCUCUCCUCCCUUUGCUGCUCCAUCUCUGGGCGGCGUAAGGACGCUGGUGCAGAAAUCAGACCAGUGCCUUAGAAAUCAGGAGAAAAUGAAAGUGCUGGGAGAAAACACAGCCGCCCCAGCACAGUAUUCCUUUUCACUGGCUCUAACAGCCGUCCUUUAAUCUGGCUUCUCAUCCAUAUAUAUUGCUCUGGGCUCAAAUCUUUUAGCUACUCUUUGUAACCCAUGCCAAACCAUUUACUUCUCAGCUUCACAAUUUCUCUCCAAAUCAUCAUGAUCGCCUGUCAGUCAGGGCUUAUUUUAUGUUCCUGUUCUCUGUGAUCACAGAUACUCAAGCUGAUGAAUCAUUUCACCCUGUGACUCCAGUUCUUUGACCUCCCUGACUCUGCCGAUUGUCUUUUUUUCACAACAGAAGACUUUCCCUUCUCGAGCUGCUACCAGGCAGUCUCUCUACUAGUCCCUGUCCCUCUCUGGGACAGAGCAAGAUCUUGAGCUCUUGUAUAUCAUUAAUAGUAUACCCCUGUGAAAACAGCUAAAACUCGCUGAGCAGAUAAUCUGUUUCAGGUACUGUUCCAAGCACUUUGCAUCUGUUUAUACUUCUUAAUCCUUGUAGGAAACCCUGUGAGACAGGUAUUCUUCCGUCAUUAUUCUACUAUACAGAGAAGGAGACACAGGCAGUUUAAAUGACUUGGCUCAAAGACACAGUGAGAGGAGUCAGGAUUUGAAUGUGCACUCAGGCCGGUCUAAGGACUAACUGAACUCACGUAUAUAAAGUGCUAGAAAGAGUUCCAAAUGCCACAAGGCUAAAAGCUAUGACUGUGUUGAGGGUUAACUUCUAUUAUUGUUAUUACUAUUAUUAUUAGCUACUGACAUUAAGACUAACUGAACUUGCACAUUCUUCAUAUCCAGACCUCCAGUCUCUCAGGCUCUCCAGCGUUACCAAGGAUGACCUCAUUCCUGGCUCAAGUACACUCUGCCCAGUUUGAACUUCACGGGCUAUGGUUCCUGUGCUGCCGCUGCUGCCCUCUGACGUCUCUGAGAUCCUGCUGACCCUCUGUGACCACCAGCCCAUUCAUGACCCAGCUCACUGUUGCUCCUCUGUUACAGAGCAGCGGGGACCACGGUGCAGGGCGAGUUCUUCCAGGACACACGCACACGUGAUCGGACUGUGGUUACCAGGAAAUUCUUUCAUUCUGGUUUGGCUGAAUCUCUGAUUUUGAAAAAAAAAAACCUCACUUGGUCAUCCUACCUCUUCUAACCACCAUCCUGUGUUAUCCUCCUCAUUGUUGGGCUCCUCUCCCCUCUGAGCUCCCCCCCAAGGACACAGCAUUCAGACACACCUCCCAGCUCUCUCCCACUCAUCAGUGGCACCAUCGUUGCUCAUUUCCUGGACCCAGGGUUAUCAUUUCCCCCUUCCUUCUUGCAUAUAACUAACUGUUCAGUAUUAGAUUUAAAUAGUUUUCUUCCUUCCUCGAGCUAAUAUGUGAUGUUCAUAUACACCUGGCUUCCCCUAACAGCUUUCUGGCUGACCUCUGUGGUUCUAAUUAUUACCUGUUUACCUUGUACCAUACUUUCAGAUCUUUUCUUCUUAAGCAAUGCCAUUAGCCACUCAGUGGUCACUACACCAAAUAAAAUGCACAGCCUGGUUUCCUAGCCCUCCCUCUAGAGGGUCUUCUAACUUCUGCUUCUUCAUACUCUUACUUUUCAUUCUGACUAGUCAGGCUAGCCAUCACUGCUGUGCCAAUGAAAAUGCCCACUUCAUGGUAUUUCUGGAAUAUCUUCAUGUUCUCUCCUCUCUAAAUCUUACUCACUUCAAAGAUCCGAUUUAACUCUGACUUCUUCCAUUAACAGUAAAGAUGGGCUACGCUGAUCAUGACCCAUCUCCUUCUCUAUCCUACACUUCCAGCCCAUGUUAUUAAGGAACACAGGACUUACCAGAUACUUUGACAUUAGUCACCACUGUUUGAAGAGACAAUAAAAAUUCCUGGAGAACAGGAAUUGAAUUUUACACGUUUAUAGCUCUCUGCCUAACAAAGUACAGGGCCCAGUAACUGCACAUUAUCCAUCUGCCUAAAAUGUAGGAUAAUUUCACUAUACUUACGUUUAUAAAACACAAAUCCUGAAUCUAACCAAGUAAAUGUAUCUACCACAGUCCUCCUAUAUGGACUACAGGCCUAAUGGGGGAAAAUUUCUCUACAUAAGCAGAUGUCUGUUCUUCAGCCACUUGUUCCUGUGACGGUCUGUUUUUAGUAUCCAUCUGAAACCACUCUUCCCACCAUCCAGCCAUGUGCGGGAGGAAGGCGCAGGCAGUGCACUCUCCCCCAGGUAUUUCACUGGCAUCCUCACAGUGCUCCUCGUAAGGGCGGUCUUCCUGAGCCAGGACGGAACCAGAGAACCCGAUCAAGAAUCAAGACAGUUUCCUAAACAAGGCCUCUCUUACUUCAGAUUUUCUGAUGAGAUCUUCAAGAAGAACAGAUGAUGGUAGUUCUGUUUCUGACUUUGCUACUUCAUAAGGGCUUUUUCUCUUUUUGACGCACUGACUUUUAUUUCUGUGUUGCCUUUUAUUUGAUAAAGGUCUGGACACAGUACACCUUUCUAGAAGUCAGUUCUUUAUAUGGAAAUGUUUCUGACGCUCUUAGUCUCCCAAGAGGCCCCUGGUUAAGAAAAUUCUCCUUGAGAUACCACUUGUUUAUCACCAAGAAGAAAAAGAGAAACAUCCCUGGGACGUUCUUGGCUUCCUCUACUCAAACCACAGGGAUGUAGGAAAAAAUAAGUAUCUUUGAAACUCCUUUAAUUUAUUUUUAAAAGUUGUUAUUACUUGGUGCAAGUCUACUUUGUGGUAUAUGUGGAAGUAAGAUCCUGCAGUUUUUUUCCCAGGACUUUUUUUUUUUUUUUGAAGAGAAGAUGACGUUUCUCCAGAUGUUUUUUUCUGGGUGAUUAUUUUUAAAUAAACAAAGGGAAAAAAUAGCUGAGUACUUUUUUCACUCUGAAGCAUGGCAGCAUGGCCAGCCAUACAGUAACAGUCCAUACCCUGAUGACACGAUGCUCAAGGCUGAGGGAAGAGGAGGAGGCCCCACCGGCUGAGCCCCGGCCUGCUUGCGACUCUCCGGCACACGUCUCUUCGCAUCACUGCUCCCUCUCAUAGCUGCUCCCGUGCUGAUGUGAGGCUCAGGACCACAGUACGUGACAGAGCGCCGAGGGCAAAGGGCGCAUCACACAGUCAGUUCUCCAGAACGUUAGCUUUUAGAGAGGAAACAGCUCGCCUCCGACAGCCAGGCCACAGCGUGCGAUCCUUUCCCAUCAAUGGUUGGAAGAGGACGUGGUCGCUACAUUGCUACAGUUCUUUUUACAUCAAGUUUUCCACUUGCUGUAUUUAGAUAAAGGGGAUGUGAUUAGAGAACUUUCUGAAGUUCUCUCAAGAUAUCAGAUAUCUGGAAUAUCCUAGAGAGAUAUAUGCAUUAGCUGAAUCACUUGCAUACUUUAAAAAAUGUUCAGUAAUAAGAUAUUUCGCCAAGAAAUGUAUGCUUUCAACUAAUUUGCUCCAAGAAAAUAAAAAUGUCAUGAUAGCAUUUACGAUGUCAUAAAUCUGAUGAUCACCUUUAGUAUCGCAUUUGCCAUUGCAAAUGUUAUGUAAGCACGGCCCACAAAUGAGCCUGAAAAACUUGUCUGAAGAAUUAGUAUCUUAUACUCUCAAAAUCAGUCCCAAAGCAGGCUUCUGAUGACGACAGGACUAUCACUAGCACCUGAAGCUAAGAUUCAUUUUAACACUUAAAAAUGUACCAGGCAUUCUACCUGGUAGUGAUGUGCAUUAUGUCUUAAAAAACUUAUGUCCGCCCUAUGAGUAGGAAGGCUAUUAUCUUGAUUUCACAGAGGUGAGCACCUCUGCUCACGAUCACACAGGGACUCUGUGGCGAGGGGGAGGACUUGAAUCCAGGUCUGAGCUCAGAGCCCAGAUUUGCCAGUACUGUGGUCUACUGCCUUCACUAAGACCAAAAGCCUCUUUAUGGAUGACACUUACUAAUACUUAGGAUCGAGCUAAGCACUUUUCAAGUACUAUCUUUUAUUCCAGGGUGAAAUUCUACCUUUUCUGUACUAGUCUUAAUAGUUUUCCAAUGAAGCUCUUAAGCCUGGUGUUCAUAAACUAAAGCAAAACUCCUGGUAAUUAUCCAAUGAAAUAAGAGUCUCAAUGUCAAUACUUUUCAAACUUCAGGCCAGAGAUGUUCCCGAUGUGAUGUUGGACUUGCAUUAUUUUUUCCAUUUCCCUUAAAUAAAACCAGAGUAUGUUACGGGACCCAGACCAACUGAAAUUUCGUACCAUUAGAAUUUGCCGUGGCUUCUACUUUUAACAAAACAACCCUACAAUUUAAAAGAAACACCCUCUUCUGCCGCUGGGGCAAAUGUCUUACCGCUGUAUGUAUGAGUUAUUGACACCGCGGUGAUCCAGAUCAUGGCUUAAGGCAGCAAUCAGCAGUGCGAGUAUCUCCAGGUCCGUCAGCCUCUUCUACGUGACCGAAGACCGUGGGGAGAGAACGAGAAAGAACCGUUUGGUAAAGCGCGUUAGCUACCUCUUUCCACCCAUCACGUGGUUUUGUCCUCAGCACUUUACAUAUGUGCUUCUUUCUAGUCACAGAGGACUCGCGCUAGAAUCCUUUCCUGCAGGGAUUGAAUCAGUCAUAUUCAAUGAUAAUAACCCCAGUAAUAACCCCAGUCUUCAGAAUGGGGUUAUUGUUAUCAACAGAAAAAAUUAAGAUGCCUCACAUAAUCAACAAUCUGUCCAUGUGCAGUCAAUGUUUUUAAUUCUUCAUUAUCUACAUACAUGUGGGAUAAUCCGAACUUCCAACAACUGUCUUCUCCCUGAAUUUUUGCAGGGAACCUUCUGCAUUCCCUCUAGAUUCUGUGGCCUUUUCUCUCUGCCAGUUACUAUAUACCUGACUCUCUCAUUAGGAGCACAGAUGUGAUUACUAGCCAACAAUAGGAAAAAAAGACAAGGAAUGAAAAUUUGGCUUUGAAAAGUUGCAUAAUAUAUUCCAAAGCCAAAUACAGGUUAUUUUUAAUUCCUGCCAUUUGUAUUAUCUACUCAACUAUUCUCCUUCAUUAGUAAGAAAACACAGGUGAAAUUAUCAUCAGCUCUGUCCUGUUGGACCUCUGAACAUUCUACAUAGUAAUGUCUACAGCAUAUACAAAAGUCACCAUUCUAUUAUUGUUCACAAAAUGCAGGGAGAGGCUUCAGUGAUACAGUCCUCAUGACUGUCUCAAACCCCAAAAUAAAUUCACCUUAUUUCUUAUAAAUGUUUGUUAGAGUAGGAAAAUACAAUCAUGGUAUUUGAUAUGGCUUCUUAAGACAACAAUCACUUUUUUUUUUUAGUUCUAGCCAGUUAAAAUGUGCACUAAAUGAAAGUCGAGACAGAGGAUAAAAUUUUGAGAGUUUGUUAAAUAAAAAAGAGCAUGGAAGCUCUGAAUUAAAAACAGUCAUAUGAUGGGUGCCUGGAAUCACUUACCUAGAAUAACUAGUCAAUUCCCAGUGAAGUUAGAAUCUAAGGCCAGAGAUAUGAAAAAUCUGACCUGGAAAGGAAUGAAUUACUUGAAUCUUUUUGGCACUGAUCUUCUUUGUUAAAGUCUCUGGUCAUGUAUAUGAAACCAAAACCUUUUCCAUGAAAUGAUAUUUAUAAAAUUAGUGCUCCAGAGAAAAUGUGAUAGAGAACCCUGGGCCCAUCUAUGGAGCCAAGUUUAGGACCCGAGUGGUUUUUGAGAAAGUCUACUAUGGAGCAGUUUAAAUGUGACUGUGAGAGGCUGGAUACUUUUCCUUCUACUGUGGAGUUUCCUCUGAAGGAGGUAUUUAUUUGGCCAAAGACUAUUAAGUUUAAUAUGAAGCUAUUUAAAAAAUUUUUUAAACAUGCAAUGUAUAUUAUAUAUGAAAGAAAAUUAGAAAUUAUUUUGCCAUAUUAGUCUUGUUGAAUUAAGAGACGCAGGAGACAAGGGUUCACUCCCUGGGUUGGGAAGGUGCCCUGGGGGAGGGAUUGGCCACCCACUCCAGUAUUCUUGCUGGGAAAAUCUCACGGACAGAGGAGCCUGGUGGGUCACACAUGGGGCUGCAAAAGAGUCGGACACGACUGAGCACAAGCACACACAAGGCAGUUUACUUCUAACUGGAAGUAAGUAUUAUUCUCGGUCAUCACUAGUGCACAUUAAAACAACUGGAAGAAUAUGCUGUGAAGCAACAAAGCGUCUAAAUAUAUAAACGACUCUGAGCAGUACCUGAAUUUUGCCUGCUUUUAGUGCCGCAAACAUGCACUGAGCUGUAUUAAAGGCAUGUCUCCAAUUAUGAUAGGCGACGUUCUUCCGAUAGUUCUUCUUCACACUUAAAAUCCACUUGCAAAGGACCUUUAGGAAACAAGGUGUAAGUAGUCAAAAUAACUGCUAACGCUCACCCUACACUGACUUCAUGCACUGUACGAAGCAUGUACAUCUGACCCCAGGGCUCUGUGGGACACACUUCAGAUGAUGCGAGUGGCAUUCGGAGAGGAAGCUUGCCCGAGGCCACAGUGCAUGUGAAGGAUGGGGCCAGAAUUCAGAUCCUGAGAGUUUGAUUCCAGAGUCCACCAUGCAAACCACGGUGCCAGCUAAAUUAGAUGUAAAAGGCAAGGCAGCUCUAAGAAAGGCAGGGCACAGACUAGCUUUUUAGAAGAUACUACGUCCACGUGUAGUCAGUUGGGACAGUCCAGUCACAGGUGCAUGAACCCAUGCGCAGGGAGCCCGCAGGCAGCUGCUCGCACGCCCUCUUUCUGUGCGUCCGCACAGGUGUUCGUGAGGCCCUUCUGGGGACAGACUGGGGGCAGGGCACACGGCACACACCCAGGGACAAACUAAAACUCCACAUCACAGCCUCUGUCCCUUUAAACGAUUCUUAAAUAUUCAGGCAGAGUUACUGCUUGGUUAUCAAGAAGUAAUUUAAAACACACACACACACACACACACAAAGCCCUGGUGUGUGUGUGUAUGUGAGUGUGUUUAAUCUAUGUAUUUUUAAAGAUGGAGAAAAAAAGGACAGACUGUUCAGAAAAUCUCAUAAGCUAGGUUUAUUUAAUUCAACUCCUAAGUGGUGGAUUUAACAAAAUCCCUGGGGGACUCAUGGGCCCUAAGCAUGAUAAUUUUGUGUUUGUGUUAGCAUCAGAGUCUGCCUCUCUUCGAUUCUGAAUAAUUUACUAUGCUUUGGGGGAUCUCUAAAAAUAAAUAUGUGCUUCUCCCUAUGUAUAUUUAUGGGGAUAUUUCAUACACAAAAGCCAUUGCUCUGGGGAAUGAAAAAGUACCAGGGAAAAGAAUCUUGCUUUAAUAAUAUUCAACACAGUUUGAUUGGCUGCAAAAGUAGGCCAAAAAACAAGGUUUCUUCUUUGUUAGUACAAAAUUGCUUAUAGAGGAUUUGGCAGAAAAAUCAAUGCUUUCAUAUCCUCCCUUUUCUUCUCAGGUCUCUUUCUUCUUGUUCUAUGAUGCAGUUCACAGAGAAUUCUGAUAAAAGGAACCCAAAUGUCCCCAAGCUCUUUUACCCACCCCUGAGUAACCAUAUUUCCCAGAGGAUUUUCGAAGGCUAAGACUGACAUGUGCUGACCUGAAAUAUACUACAGCAUGACCAUUUCUGAAUAAAGUUGACCCUGAAGGUAAUAGGUUCAUCUUAUUAGAAUUUUAAGUAAGAACUAUUAACUUUCUUUUGAUAUGUUUAGAAAGUAUACAGUGAAGUCUUAUAGGAAAUUGUCUAGUUGCUAAGUUGUGUCUGAUUCUUUUGCAACCCCCUGGACUGUAGCCCUCCAAGCUCCUCUGUCCAUAGGAUUUCCCAGGCAGAAAUACUGGAAUGAAUGGGUUGCUAUUUCCUUCUCCAGGGGAUCUUCCCAACUCAGGGAUCGAACCCAUGUCUCCUGAAUUGCAGGCAGAUUCUUUACCACUGAGCCACCUGGGAACUCCUGUUGUAGAAAAUUCUGUUGAUUAAAUAUAGAAUCAAGGAAAAUAAGCAGGAAAGCCCAGAUAUUUAACCUAUGGGCAUAUCUCUCUACUAAUCAUAAAAUCUGUAGACAUAAUUAAAUAGGCAUGUAUAGCAUAUAAUGGGAAAUAAUGGACAAAAUAAUUAUGAAACCUAAUUCCUAAUGGACUACUCUCUUCUUUUUUGGGGGGCCAUGCUGUGCAACUUGUGAGAUCUUAGUUUUCUGACCAGGGAUUGAACCUGGUCAUCCUAAGUGGACCUAACCACUGGACCACCAGGGAACUCCUGAUUCUGCUUCUACUAAGAUGGGCCUGUUGAACUGAGUAACCCAACGACUGCCCCAUUGUAUCUAAUUAGUAACCAGAUUCAAGUACAGUUUUGUAUUCUGUUAUCAGAAUGUUCUUAACAACAUUUAGGAAAAUUAUGGUCAGAUCUGUUAAAUGCUUGGUGGCUAUGCCUGGAAUGUUCAAACUUGUAAUACAGCCUUUCGUACAGGACUCCUGAACAGCUGUGAGCAGUUUGGAAGACCCUAGGGAGCAUGCUCAGUACAGUGAAUUGGUCUCCAACAAUUACAAAGGCUUCCUGAGUCCUGAGCAACAUACUUAAGAUUCUGUGCAAGGAAGCAAAGAAAGAAAACACAGCUCAGCUCUUGCCUUCAAGAGUUUCAAUCAGUAGCAAAACUAACAAAAGCACACAUAUAAAGGAAAUAAAUUCACGUAAAAAUGAGAACACAAAUUUAUAAACUGUCAACAGGAUUCCAAGUGGCAUGAAGUCAGUCCUAGAGUUUUCCCAGGAAUAGAGACUUUUGCGUCAUGCUUCAAGGAAAAAGUAUGCUGUGGUACACAGUGGAGUGGACUUGGAAGUGGACAAUCCUGUCCAUUCAUGGGAGGAAUGACUUGUCAAAGACAGACGGUAAAGGAAAACAAGCAUAGCACACGCAGAUUGGUAGAGUAAAGUAAAAGAAUCUGUUUCAGAGAUCCAUGAGCGUUACAGGAGAGAAAAGGUCUGGAAGCCAACAGGGACAAGAAGAUUUGUCAUAUCUUUCAGUAGGAAGGAUUCUUUGUCAGGGCACUUUAUGAUGCUAACAUCUUUUCUAGCAGCAACAUUUUAAUCAUCAUCCUAAAAUUAUAUCUGAAAUGUAUAGUGACAAUAAUAUCUGAAAUAAAACGGAUGAGUCGCCAAGGCAGGAAGGGCAACAAGAGUAAUAGAGACGUUCAAGAUGACACUGGCCAGAAUCAGAACAGUAGUUACUCAAAUGGAAAAGCAGAGGAGAUGAACGAGACACUGAGGAGAAAUACCUGCCUAAUGGACAAACAUUCAGGAAAGGUAAAAAUAAAAGACUGAGGGAGAAAUUCAAAGGACUAUCUUCUUAUCCAACACUCAAAUGCUACCUUAAAGCUUAUUUUUUAAAAUUUACUUUUAAUUGAAGGAUAAUUGCUUUAUAGAAUUUUGUUGUUUAGAGCUUAUCUUUUUAAGAAAUAAAUCAAUUUAUGUAAUAAUUUCAUAAAUAGGUACAAAGAUCAUAUUCCUGUCCUGGCCAGGCCCUUUCAACAGAGCCAUUACCGGUGCACAGUAUGGGAGACCUCAGGAAUGGAAAUCGACCUGAGUUGCUACCUAGAUUUAUGUAAGUCCUAUAACUAGCAAGCAGCAGAACUGAGACUCACAUUUAGAUCUUCUGGCUCUAAAUGGGAUCUUCAUGCCAUUAAUAAAGGUUUUAAUAUAUGAGCCCUAUGGGGUAAUAUAACCAUGGUCAAAUCUGGUUUAAAGAAGGGAUUAACUUUCUACUUAAUACUUUUGUAUUAAGCAAAAUAUACAGGUGUGCACACAUAGACACACAUACAAAUAGACAAUCACACAGAUACAUGUAUAAUUCUCACAAGACCCCCACAGGGAAAGUCAUACUAUUAUUCCCAAUUAACAGGUUACAAAACUUGAGAACGUGAGCAACUACCUGCCCAAAGAAAUGAGAGCUAAUCACCAGUAGAGCUAUGACUCAAAUCCAAGAACCUUCUACUCCAUCCUGCUAUGUCUGGAGCUUCCCUGGUGGCUCAGACGGUAAAGCGUCUGUCUGCCUGCAAGGCAGGAGACCCAGGUUCGAUCCCUGGGUUGGGACGAUCCCUUGGAGAAGGAAAUGGCAACCGACUCCAAUACUCUC